rnacentral:rRNA from 1 species
AGACUUGAAACCGUUUAGGGGUAAACCUGAGAAACCCGAAAGGUCGAAGGGAGAAAUUCAUUCGCGUUUCGCCGUUGGCGUGAGACGGUCGAGUGACGAAAGACGUUCGCGUUUUUCGCGCCUUCCGUUUUUCGAUCCGAUAGCGAACGCGUGCACUUUUCUCCUGGUAGGACGUCGCGAUCCGUUGGGUGUCGGUCUAAGGCUCGCGGUGGAGCCCGAGUGUGCUUUCGCACGUUCGGACCCGCGUGUCCCGGCCGACUCGCUCGACGGUAUACGAAAGGUUUAAGGCCGCUCUCAGAGCGUUCGGCUCGUCGCAAGCGCGUCAGAUGUUGUCGGCGAUCGGACCUAGUGCCGGUUCUGACCACUGGCGACUGUUGGCGGCGAAGUUCUCGAACAGACCUUUGACCGAUCUGCGACGCUAUAGCUUUGGGUACUUUCAGGACCCGUCUUGAA